GACGAACGCUGGCGGCGCGCUUAACACAUGCAAGUCGAACGGAAAGGCCUGCUUUCCCUUGUGGAUUGCGGGUACUCGAGUGGCGAACGGGUGAGUAACACGUGAGUGAUCUGCCCCCAACUUGGGUAUAAGCCUGGGAAACUGGGUCUAAUUCCCGAUAGGACUGCAGGGUGGUGCCUGUGGUGGAAAACGAUUUUCUAGUGGUUGGGGAUGAGCUCGCGGCCUAUCAGCUUGUUGGUGGGGUAAUGGCCUACCAAGGCGGCGACGGGUAGCCGGCCUGAGAGGCUGGACGGCCACAUUGGGACUGAGAUGCGGCCCAGACUCCUACGGGCGGCAGCAGUGGGGACUAUUGCACAAUGGGCGGAAGCCUGAUGCAGCGACGCCGCGUGGGGGAUGACGGCCUUCGGGUUGUAAACUCCUUUCGACCGCGAGGAAGCCACCUGGUUGGAAGGGUGGUGACGGUAGUGGUAGAAGAAGCACCGGCUAACUACGUG
rnacentral:rRNA from 1 species